GUAAUUAUUAUAAUUAUUCAGACGCUGAUUGAGAAUUAAAAAGGUUAUUAAGUUGUCCAGCCGGCGGGCAAGCCCACCGAGGAAACAUGGGUACGCAAAAAGACAAGGAUUUAGAAAGCGUACUCCCCUUAAAAUGCUCAAGCUCUCCAAAAGGCCAGCUAAGCACUCCAAAGCUUUCCGCUCCCAGCAGAAAAUCUGCUAAUAGUAAUGAUCCUUCCGCAGGUUCACCUACGGAAA
rnacentral:misc_RNA from 1 species